UUUAAUAAAAAAUAGCUUAAUAAUACGCAAAUUAGAUACAAAUAUAUAUAAAUAAAUAAGAAGUAUGGCGAUUCUUUUCUAUUUUCGCCAUCGAGCACUUUCUUAUUAAUGGUGGACGAGUACUCGUUUUCUACAAAUAUAUUUCCCAUCUUGUUCUUACUAUCCCGGCGUCUAAGGCACGGGUCUGCCAGAAGAUUUUACUAAUAAAUCCUCUGGUAGUCCCAGGACGAAUCUUUUUCUUUCCUUUUCUUCUCUUUCCUCCAUUAAUUUUUCUUUACAGCACCACAAGAAUAUAACUUAUUGUGCGUUAAUUAUGAUGCGUUAUUUCAAAUCGGAUACGUUGUUAAGUAUUCUAUUAAAAUAUUAUUCAAGUACAUUAGAAACCAUAAUUAAAAAAAA